rnacentral:lncRNA from 10 species
GAGCGCCUCUGCCCGGCCGGGACCCCGUCUGGGAGAUGAGGAGCAUCUCUGCCCGGCCGCCCCGUCUGAGAAGUGAGGAGACCCUCCGCCUGGCAACUGCCCCGUCUGAGAAGUCUGCCUGAACAUUUCCAAUAUUAAAGAAAAGGUCAACCAAAGGUCCAGAUCUACAAAAUCACCUGCAUUUCAUCUGAAAUGAAAUUCUUGACAAUGGAUUCAAAUAUAUACAUGCUAUGAUGGCAAUUUUUGGAAACUGCCAUCACAUUUUCAACAAAAUUCUAAGAUUAAUGACAUUUACUAAAGAAAAAGUAAAAGAAAUAAAAACUUUCUAAAAAUUCUUCUGGGGUCUAUUUAAAAUAAUCUGAUAAAAGCCUCUCUGGAUUCCAAAAAGGCAUGUGAAGUGAGUAUUAAUUAGCAAUUUAAUUAGUGUUAGAUUUUAAGCUGUGACAACUAUAUCCUCACAUUCUAGCAGAAUGACUAGCACAAAAUAAGUCUCAAGUAGUGUUUUUAAUGACUAAAGUGCUUAUUUUCACUAUCACAAUGAUUUUAUAUUAAUCAAAUUUAUAAUUCAGUAAACUGUGCCUUUAUGUGUCCUACGUAUUCAUUAUAUUGAGAAUCCAGCUUCAGUCAUUAACACAGUUAUGUCAUUUGUCACAUUAUACAUGUACUUUAUUAGUCUAAGCAUAAAUCUGAUCUCUUUUGCUAGUUGCUGUUCAACUUUAAAACUGCUCUUGACCUUAAUAGACUAAUGUUAUAUAAUAUUACAUACUCUAAUAUUACAUACAAGAAAAUACAGCCAGUACUCAGAGAAAAUAAGCCAUACAGAUACAGAAAAAUAGCCAUGUUACAAAAGAAUAAAGCAACAAAAUGUUGCUAGAGAAUAAAAACUAGUUAUCUGUAUCCAAACUUAUGAAAAUUAUUUGAGGACAUCAAUUCCUCCAUUUGCCCUGAAAAAAACAUUUAAAUGAAGUAUCAUAAACUAUCAAUAACCCUUAAAUUUGUAUCAUAAACUAUCAAUAACUCUUAUCAUUCAAGAUUAAUUAAAAGCAUAAUAAAUUUUUUAAACCUUUUUUUUUCUUUUUUCUUGAGACAGGGUCUUGCUCUGUCACCCAGGCUUGAGUGCAGUGGCACAAUCUCGGCUCACUACAGUCUCGACCUCCUGGGCUCAAGCAAUUCUCCCACCUCAAUCUCCCAAGUAGCUGGGACUAUAGGCAUGUGCCACCACCUCUGGCUAAUUUUUGUAUUUUUUUUUUUUUGUAGAGACUGGGUUUCACCAUGUUGCCCAGGCUGGUCUUGAACUCCUGGGCUCAAGCAAUCUAUCCACCUCGGCCUCCUCACGUGCUGAGAUUACAGCUGUGAGCCACUGCACCUGGCCAAAAACAAUUCUUAUUUUUAGAUUAUGAUCUUUAUAUAGUUCUCAACAUACUCUAUUGAGUUUUGGGGGUUCACAGUCAAAAUGGAUCUGGGAAGUUAGUUUAAAAGUUGUUAGGCAAGUAACUCCCUUUAGCAAGCUCAUGUGUUAGGACUGUGCCCUUUUGUACAGCCUAUCUCAUAGAAAGCACUGAGUUAUUUUUCCUUUUUAACUUUAUCACUUAUUUAUUUAGAGACCAAGGUGUUGUGCUAUUGCCCAGGCUGAAGCACAGUGACACAAUCAUGGCUCACUGCAACCUCAACCUUCGGGGCUCAUGUGAUCCUCCCACCUCAGCCUCCCAAAUAGUUGGGAACACAGGCACAAGCCACCAUGCCCAGCUAAUUUUUAAUUUUUUUGUAGAGAUGAAAUCUCCCUAUGUUGCCCAGACUGAUCUCAAACUCCUGGGCUCAAGGGAUAUUCCCACUUCAGCCCCACAAAGUGCCGAGAUUAGUGGUGUGAGCCACUAAGUCUUGAUUAUCUAUUGCUAUUUAAAUACUGUUUUAAAAGUUUCUUUUACACAUACAACAUCAAGAGCCUCACUCACUGAUCUCUUAAUCCUCUAAGACAUAUCACCUUUUUUAAAAAAUUAGAGAAACCCCAUCUUCUACUAAAAAUACAAAAUUAGCCAGGCGUGGUGGCACAUGCCUGUAAUCCCAGCUACUCAGGAGGCUGAGGCAGGAGAAUCGCUUGAACCUGGGAGGCAGAGGUUGCGGUGAGCCAAGAUUGCACCAUUGCACUCCAGCCAGGGCAACAAGAGUGAAACUCCGUCUCAACAACAACAACAACAACAACAAAAUUAGAGAUAGGGUCUCACUCUGUCGCCGAGGGUGGAGUACAGUGGUGCAAUCACAGCUCACUGUAACCUCAAAUUCCUAGGCUCAAAUGAUUCCCCCAUCUCAGCCUCCCAAGGAGCUGGGAUAACAGAUGUGCACUGUCAUGCCCGGUUAUUAAUAUUAUUAUUUUUUGGUAGAGACAGGGUUCUUGCUAUGUUGCCCAGCCUGGUCUCAAGGGAUCCUCCAAGGCCUCUCAAAGUGCUAGGAUUACAGAUGUGAGCCACCAUGCCCGGCCUGACACAUUUCCUUAGCAAUAUCUAACACUGUGGGAUUUGUUUAAAAACCUUUCCUCACAGAGAGAUGCUCCAUAGGCAUUUCACAUUGUUUUACAUAUUUUUAGAAAAUCCUGCCUGGUUCCUUUAAUCUUCCAUGCAUUUCUAUUCUACGGAGACAAUAAAAGUGCAUGUUCUCUUUAUUCCUGUUGAUUACUUACUCCCUAAAAACCUGAUGGGAACUCAUACCUGAAUGUUCCAACCUCCACUACUGUCCCACCGGACCCUGACUGUGAGAAGCUGCGUGUCAGGGAGAUCCUCUCAAAUACAGUUUACUGGAUCUCUCUUUGUGCGAUUCCCAUUUCAAUCUGUAACCUAUGAAAACGCACUUUAAGAGCCACAAGAAAUGUACUCAUGUGAUUGUUCACAGUGAAAACAAGAAAACAUUCUUCUUUCUUCUCCCUAGGGAAAGCUAGGAGCCUAAAUGUUGCUAUCCUCACACUAAAUGAUCUAACAACAGAGGGUUAACACAAGAAGAAAAAGAUAAGAAACUAUCCUUUCCGACAGUCUCUGAUUUUAUUAUGAAAUCAACCCCCCAAAAAUUGGGAUCUUGGAUUUUUUUCCUGAGAAAAUAGGUAAAGAACAUUUUCUUUUCUUUCGCCUUUUCUAAUUUGCCUUUGUGCUCUUGACCCAAGAAACGGUAUCUGAUUACCUAUCAGAGAGAAUAAUAAACCUAAAUUGAUGACUGACAUUUUAACAGACUGAACAGCAAUAUUUCACCACUGAAAUCCUGGACAAUUUUCUAAGAGCUCUUUUUACAAGUAGGCUUCAUAAAUAGCCAGGACAUUGAGGAUUUAAUUAUGAAAUCAGAAUGCUUGAUUCACGACCCUCUUUUCAGAGCCAAAUACCUCUUCAUUCUCAGACUCACUGUCUUGAAAGUGCAAUCACAAGCACUUACCUUGUUUAUUUCCCAGUCUUCCUCCAACUUUUCCACUGCAGCUGAUUCCUGAGUAGACUCCUGCACAUCAGAAGUGGCCUGC